UUAGAGUUAGUAAGGGAGUGUGUGUGUCUCUAUUGUAGUCACAUAUAGUGGCUCUAGAGUGAAUCCCCAUGUACUUAUGUAUAUGUUAGUGCAUGCUUGUCUAAGAGCUUUCCACCAAGUCGGUCAGCCCCCUUCCCCUCUUCCUCCCCUGCACUGUAUUGGAGGUGGAGAGGGACAGCUAUCUAAUCUUGGCUUUGUGCACUUGGCUCUUUCUGUACUCCGCCUGUCAGCUCUUUCCCUCUCUGAUCUCUUGGUGCAAGUCCCAAGGCCGUUUGGUGCCUUUCUUUAUCUGGCUUUCCCCCCUCUCUACCCUCAUGCUUGACCUACUUCCCAGGAAAAUUUCUCUAGUACUUUUAACUUCUUCUACCCAGGAUUGGCCAGGAUUGGCCAGAAGACCUAAUGAGGCCCCUAUUCUAUUCUUUUCCAUUUACAGACCCCUGCCCCUACUCUGUGUGUCAAGAGGAAGACUACAGAAACAAAUUAGCUCAAGGCUAGAAGGAGAGGCAAGACCCACACAUGACUAUCUGUAAGGUAGAAAGUGCUAAGUACAAUAAAUGUAAAGACAAAUUGCCAAGGGAGGAAUGUGUAAGGAGAAAUUAUUUCCUGAUGGGAAGAGUUUUUGAAAACUUAUGAAGAAGUGGCAUGUGAGCUGAAGUUGAAAGGGUGAGUAGGACUUGAAACAUGAAACAGAGGAAGGAUGUCCAUGGUGGAGGAAGCAAAGGUAGGAGGCUCUGUGGGGGAGCCUUGAGGAGGAUCCAAAGGCUGGAGAGAAAGGCACAGGCAAUGGAUUGGUAGAGACAGGUGCAUGGAGUGGAUUGGUAAGUAGGUAGGAAACCGGCUGGCUUUGAAUGUCAAGCCGAAGAAUGGAGCUUGUUUUUGAUUUGCAAGGCAUGAAGUCUUUAAGGGUAGCUGAGCCUAGAUAUGAUGCACAAUUUUGCAUAUAUGUGUAUUUUUCCUGGAGAAGAGGCUAGAAGUUUUAUUGUAUGGGACCAAACUGUCCUAUUAUUGGAGGCACCAGUGAAUGUGUGUAAGGUUAGGGCACUGUAAGUUGGAGGUAUAUUGGCUCUCUGUGCCUCAAAGGUCUUGGGUUGGAGUGGUAGUCAGCAAACUAGGAAAAUGUGCAUGAAUUUUCAAGAAAGAACAGACAAGAGAUGACUAAUGGUAAAUGUAUUCUUUUAUGUGCAAGAGAUAAAACAUGACAAGUCAUUUCCAUCUGAAAAUGUGGAAACAUUACGGCAGAAGUAACCAGUAAAAAGCCUCUUUGGUGUGAAAUCUGUUGAGAGAGAACCAUUUCUGAGACUUCUGGGGAAGGUGGCAUUUCUUGAGCCGAUGUGAGCGCGUCAUUCAGCCACCGAAUAUGCAACUGGCAGUGUCAUUGUGCCUUGGAGCUGGACUGGAGGGGUCAAGGCAGGCUUCUCAAGGGAGUUGAGGUGAUACUAUCUACAUAACUUUUGUUUGGAGCUUUUAUUCUUCUCCAUUGUAUGUGACAGUAAGAUCCCCCUUCUGAUUAAUGACUCUUUGUGAACAUCAUUUCCAUCAAGAGCUGGACUGCUGUUUGCCUCCCUUAGUACAGAAUGUUCGGUUUACUUCUAGUAUCUUGUUUUUUGAACUGUGGUGUAGUUAGCAAGUCAGAGUUGGGGGGAGGAGCGAAGAGGAGAGUAGAGAGAGAGAAGGAAAGAGGAGAGAGAGGAAGAAGAAAAAGAAAAAGAAGGAGAGGGGAAGGGAGGAGAAAGAAGAGAGAAGAAGAGAGAGAUUUGUCUGGUUACCAGGAAUUGAGAUCAGAGUGGGUAAGAGCUUGAGCCCUGGCAUCAGAUGCUUUGCGGGUAAACCCAGGCCCUGCCAUUUAUAGCCAUAAAUGUUCAGAGUCACCUCCCCCUCUGCCCUGUAGUUUCUUCAUCCAUAAAAGGGAGCUUUUCUUUUUGGUUUUUUUAAAUCUGCAAAGCAAUGAGAAAUUCUUAAUUUGGAGGGAGGUAAAAUAUCUCCUGUUCUUAAGAGAAGACUUGUCAUGGGAAAUGUCCAAUCUGAAUGUAUUUGAAUAAAUUGAACAAUAUAUGUAA